UACGGAGGAUCCAAGCGUUAUCCGGAUUUAUUGGGUUUAAAGGGCGUGCAGGCGGUUUGUUAAGUCUAGGGUGAAAGCUCCCGGCUCAACUGGGAGAGGUCCUUGGAUACUGGCGAACUUGAGGGAUGCAGAGGAAAGCGGAAUUCCGGGUGUAGCGGUGAAAUGCGUAGAUAUCCGGAGGAACACCGGUGGCGAAGGCGGCUUCCUGGACCGACACUGACGCUGAGGCGCGAAAGCUAGGGGAGCAAACGGG
rnacentral:rRNA from 1 species